rfam:Rhizobiales bacterium TMED143 66571, whole genome shotgun sequence.
CUUGGUGACUAUGGCGAAGCGCCUAAACCCGAUCCCAUCCCGAACUCGGCCGUUAAACGCUUCUGCGCCGAUGGUACUGCAUCUUAAGGUGUGGGAGAGUAGGUCGUUGCCAGGU